GCGUGUUAUUAGCUCUAUGAUUUAGUGAUGAUUUUAAUGCUCCCCGGCAUGACAGAAUUGCUGUGUGUAGUCUUUGCCCAUCUCUCAUGAUGGGCUUUUUUUUUU
rfam:Sodalis sp. TME1 1.TCA.454Reads_contig_31690, whole genome shotgun sequence.